AGUGAGGAAUAUUGCACAAUGGGGGGAACCCUGAUGCAGCAACGCCGCGUGGAGGAUGACGCAUUUCGGUGUGUAAACUCCUUUUAUAUGUCAAGAAAAUGACGGUAGCAUAUGAAUAAGCACCGGCUAACUCCGUGCCAGCAGCCGCGGUAAUACGGAGGGUGCAAGCGUUACUCGGAAUCACUGGGCGUAAAGGACGCGUAGGCGGGUUGGUAAGUCAGAUGUGAAAUCCUACAGCUUAACUGUAGAACUGCAUUUGAAACUACUAACCUAGAGUAUGGGAGGGGGAGAUGGAAUUAGUGGUGUAGGGGUAAAAUCCGUAGAUAUCACUAGGAAUACCGAAAGCGAAGGCGAUCUCCUGGAACAUUACUGACGCUAAGGCGUGAAAGCGUGGGGAGCAAACGGGAUUAGAUACCCCGGUAGUCCACGCCCUAAACGAUGUUCACUAGUCGUCGGGAUGCUAGUCAUCUCGGUGAUGCACUUAACAGAUUAAGUGAACCGCCUGGGGAGUACGGUCGCAAGAUUAAAACUCAAAGGAAUAGACGGGGACCCGCACAAGUGGUGGAGCAUGUGGUUUAAUUCGAAGAUACGCGAAGAACCUUACCUAGCCUUGACAUUGAUAGAAUACACCAGAGAUGGAGUAGUGCCUUUCGGGGAACUUGAAAACAGGUGCUGCACGGCUGUCGUCAGCUCGUGUCGUGAGAUGUUGGGUUAAGUCCCGCAACGAGCGCAACCCUCGUCCUUAGUUGCCAGCAGGUUAAGCUGGGCACUCUAAGGAGACUGCCUUCGUAAGGAGGAGGAAGGUGAGGACGACGUCAAGUCAUCAUGGCCCUUAUGGCUAGGGCUACACACGUGCUACAAUGGGGCGUACAGAGUGUUGCGAUACCGCGAGGUGGAGCUAAUCUAUAAACCUAAUCUCAGUUCGGAUAGCAGUCUGCAACUCGACUGCUUGAAGCUGGAAUCACUAGUAAUCGUAAAUCAGCUAUGUUACGGUGAAUACGU
rnacentral:rRNA from 1 species